rnacentral:lncRNA from 1 species
CGAUCAACCGAGAAAGAAACCUAAACGGUCAAAUAUUCGUCACAUCGCGUUAGCUUCUUUCCGCCAUAAGCGAAGCGUGCCUGCUUGCUCCCCAAGCCAACCCAAACCUUUACUAAUACCACUCAUCACCCUCUGAAAACCCAAAUGCUUCCCAAGCCCCAAACCACAUCAAAUUAGAAAAAACCCCAUUGCUUCCUUCACUUGAACACCAAAAAAACCUAUAUAUUUUAGGCCAUGUCGAUGGUAGGUUAUGGUUUUGCUGAAGCAUAUGUGCUCAGAGGCCUCCACAAGAAGAAGCUGAAGAUGGAGCAAGAAGAAGAAAGAGCCAAGUUGGGUGGAGCUGAAUCUGAAAUGGCUCAGCCUAGUGGUUGUUUGUUUCGGGUGAUGAAGAAAGUCCAUCCAAGCAAUGGUCAGAGUCAAAGGGCUUGUUCAGCUGAAACAGAAGAAACUGGAGAAGUUGGGCUUUGAACCAGAAAGUUAGAUAGAGCUCAGGCUCAUGACAUUUGUAGCUACUUUCAGUAAAAUGUGUUUUGUAUUAAAAAACAUUGUUAUGAAAAAGUAUAUGUUUGGGCUGAGUCAUGCUUUUAGCUUAAGACUUUUUAUUUUGAUGCACUUAAGCGUACUCAUUACACAUUUAACUUUGUUUUGUUGAUGGCCC